CAAUAGCGUAUAUUAAAGUUGUUGCAGUUAAAAAGCUCGUAGUUGGAUUUCUGAUGGGAGCGAUCGGUCUGGCGCUUAGCGCGAGUACUUGCAUCGUCUCCGGCCAUCCUUGGGGAGAGUCUGUCUGGCAUUAGGUUGUCGGGCAGAGGAUCCUCAUCGUUUACUGUGAAAAAAUUAGAGUGUUCAAAGCAGGCUUAUGCCGUUGAAUAUAUUAGCAUGGAAUAAUAAGAUAGGACUUUGGUACUAUUUUGUUGGUUUGCGCACCAAAGUAAUGAUUAAUAGGGACAGUUGGGGGUAUUCGUAUUCCGUUGUCAGAGGUGAAAUUCUUGGAUUUACGGAAGACGAACUACUGCGAAAGCAUUUACCAAGGAUGUUUUCAUUAA
rnacentral:rRNA from 1 species